rnacentral:rRNA from 1 species
AGUGAACGCUGGCGGCGUGCCUAACACAUGCAAGUCGAACGAGAAAUCCGCCUUCGGGUGGAGAGUAAAGUGGCGCACGGGUGAGUAACACGUGGAUAAUCUACCCAGUGUUCCGGGAUAACACUUCGAAAGGGGUGCUAAUACCGGAUAAGCCCACGGGAACUUCGGUUCUUGCGGGAAAAGGUGGGGACCUUCGGGCCUACUGUCACUGGAUGAGUCCGCGGCCCAUUAGCUAGUUGGUGAGGUAAUGGCUCACCAAGGCAACGAUGGGUAGAGGGUCUGAGAGGAUGAUCAGCCACACUGGAACUGAGACACGGUCCAGACUCCUACGGGAGGCAGCAGUGGGGGAUUUUGCGCAAUGGGCGAAAGCCUGACGCAGCAACGCCGCGUGAGUGAUGAAGGCCCUCGGGUCGUAAAGCUCUGUCAGAGGGGAAGAACCGCCGUACGGAUAAUAACCGUGCGGUCUGACGGUACCCUCAAAGGAAGCACCGGCUAACUCCGUGCCAGCCGCCGCCGUAACAC